rnacentral:rRNA from 1 species
CCUACGGGUGGCAGCAGUGAGGAAUAUUGGUCAAUGGACGAGAGUCUGAACCAGCCAAGUAGCGUGAAGGAUGACUGCCCUAUGGGUUGUAAACUUCUUUUAUAUGGGAAUAAAACGUUCCACGUGUGGGAUUUUGUAUGUACCAUAUGAAUAAGGAUCGGCUAACUCCGUGCCAGCAGCCGCGGUAAUACGGAGGAUCCGAGCGUUAUCCGGAUUUAUUGGGGUUAAAGGGAGCGUAGGUGGAUUGUUAAGUCAGUUGUGAAAGUUUGCGGAUCAACCGUAAAAUUGCAGUUGAAACUGGCAGUCGUGAGUACAGUAGAGGUGGGCGGAAUUCGUGGUGUAGCGGUGAAAUGCUUAGAUAUCACGAAGAACUCCGAUUGCGAAGGCAGCUCACUGGACUGCAACUGACACUGAGGCUCGAAAGUGUGGGUAUCAAACAGGAUUAGAUACCCGAGUAGUC